rnacentral:lncRNA from 1 species
ACACUGCGCCUGCGUGGCAAGCCGGAGCCCUGGGGUUGGGCAGCACUCGGUUCCGUGCAACUUUCAAGUGAGUUGCGAACUCCGCCCUGUAGGCCGGUGCUGGUGGCCCGGCGCGCUGGAACCGCGGCGACCCGCUCCAGCGCGGGACCAGCAGCAAGGGCCGAGCGCCAGGUUCUCCGCGGCAGAAAGGGCGGGUGGGAGCUGUAACUGCCCCGGCCGCGGGGCGCGCCCGCUCCCAAGUCGGCUUCCUCCCCGCCGGGGCCGCUUUGCCUCGGGUCUCCCCAUUCUCCAGGUCCCCUGAACUGCACAGUCGGAGGCCGUGGGCGGCGGGCUCUGCCUCCGCCGAGGGACAGCCGGAUCGCCCCUCUGCUUCCCGCAACUGCCCUGAUCACCCCCCGUCCCAGCCCUUGAGUGAACGUCCUUCUGAGCGGCUUCCUGGGGUCCUCCCCACGUCCCAAAGGCCGGCAAGAUGGUGUCCUGGAUGAUCUGUCGCCUGGUGGUGCUGGUGUUUGGGAUGCUGUGUCCAGCUUAUGCUUCCUAUAAGGCUGUGAAGACCAAGAACAUUCGUGAAUAUGUGAGCGUGGGGGUUUGGGUGCGGUGGAUGAUGUACUGGAUUGUUUUUGCACUCUUCAUGG